rnacentral:lncRNA from 1 species
AAAAGGGGGAGGAGGAAGGGGGAGGAGGAGGCGGCGCCCUGCCCCCUCCCCGCGGGGUGGAGAAGGGAUCCCGGCGCUGCCCUGGUGUGUAACCCCCGCCUCCCCGACUCCCUUCCCCCCCAGCCAGCGCGACACAUAGACACAGCGACCGACCGCCCUCCUCCUCCUCCCCUGCCGCGGCCCCACACUGCGCCUGCCCCGCCCGCCCACCGCCCGUCCCCCGGCGCAGACACCCAUCCGCCGCCUCGCCGACCUCACGGGCUGGGCUGGGGCCGCGCCGGGCUGCGGGGAAACCGCGGAGCGGGGCCCGGACGGGACGCGGCGCCGCGGGGAGCUCCGCGCACCCCACCCCGCACCGCGCCCCGGCCGCUGCCCCAGCGCUCCCCCACCCUCUCCCCGCCUUCGUUAUUUCUUUUUAUUUAUUUCCCCGUGGAAAAGGGAAAGCUCCUUCUGGAUGCGAGCGGCCGCUCCGCGCACGGGCCGCCCUCCGCAGGACGCGGCUCCGGGGGCAGCGCUCGCCCCGAGCCCCGCGGAGCCCCCGGGCAGGCGGCUGGAGCCCGGCGGGGGAGCGCUCCCCCUUCCCCCCGCCGCGCGUUUGCGGCUCGGGGCGGUGCUGGCGGGGGGAGCCGCGGGCGCCCCGGGGGAUGGGAAGGAGGGAGGGAGCAGAGUUCAGCGCCGUGUGCGAGGGAGACAAAGUCUGGGGAGCGUGGCCGCUUUCCAGCAGCUCCGGCUGGAACAGCUGCGGGCGCUCGGGGCGGGGGGGCUCCCCGGGCUGGGGCCCGGCUGGCUGGCUGCCUGCCCGCCCGGCUGCGGGGCGGGGUUAAGCCUCAUUACACGGGAUUUAACGUGUCCCGGAGGCCAGCGGGGACCCGGGCUCCGAGGGGAGGUGGGGGAGCGCCGCGGCCUCGCAGCCGGAGAGGAGUCCGGCCGCGGGGCGAGGAAGCGGCCGCGCCUCCGGACUUUCCUCCCGGGCGCUGCCCCGAGGCGGCGGGAGCGGCUCCGGCGGAGCGCGGCCGCCGGCCCGGGGCCCCCGCGCCGGGCGCCGCCCCGAGGGCAGCCCUGAGCCGCCCCCGCGGGGCCCCAGCCCGGCCGGCUCUCCCUCCCUCCCUCCGUCCCUCCGUCCCUCCGUCCCUCCGUUCUUCCUUCGCUCCCUGCCGGGGCCGGCGCGGAUCUGAAUCGCCAAAGGGCGCGCACGGACAGCGGAGCAGCGCCGUGACUCGCGCUUGGCGGGCGGGUUCGGGAACUUCGCCGGACUUGCAGACGUGGUGGGGAGCGAUACCCCCGAGGGUGCGAAUAAACACAUCCCGGGAGCCCCGCACGGAGCGUGUUUCCAGUGGCUUUUAG